CUGGCGGUAGGCUUAACACAUGCAAGUCGUGCGAGAAAAUAUCUUCGGAUAUGAGUAGAGCGGCGAACGGGUGAGUAACGCGUAGGAAUGUACCUAGUAGAAGGGGAUAGCCCGGGGAAACUCGGAUUAAUACCGUAUACCUCCUUUGGGAGAAAGAAGGCCUCUCUUUGAAGCUUUCGCUAUUAGAUCAGCCUGCGUAAGAUUAGCUUGUUGGUGAGGUAAUGGCUCACCAAGGCUACGAUCUUUAGCUGGUCUGAGAGGACGAUCAGCCACAUUGGGACUGAGACACGGCCCAGACUCCUACGGGAGGCAGCAG
rnacentral:rRNA from 1 species